rnacentral:rRNA from 1 species
CAGUAGCCACGGGAACACGGAGGGUGCAAGCGUUAAUCGGAAUUACUGGGCGUAAAGCGCACGCAGGCGGUUUGUUAAGUCAGAUGUGAAAUCCCCGAGCUCAACCUGGGAAUGGCAAUGGAUACUGGCAAGCUAGAGUGUGUCAGAGGAUGGUGGAAUUCCCGGUGUAGCGGUGAAAUGCGUAGAGAUCGGGAGGAACAUCAGUGGCGAAGGCGGCCAUCUGGGACAACACUGACGCUGAGGCACGAAAGCGUGGGGAGCAAACAGGAUUAGAGACCCCCGUAGUCCCUGUCUCUUAUAC